UCUUCUUCUUCUUCUUCUUCAUAUCUCUCUCUAUAACAGCAAAGGUUCAGUAAUGGCAGACAUUAGCCACCCUCCUAUGGAGCAACUUCAAGACCUUGAGUACUGCAUAGACUCUAACCCUCCUUGGGCUGAAACCAUCAUAUUAGCAUUUCAAAACUACAUACUGAUGUUGGGUACAAGUGUAAUGAUCCCUUCCUUGCUUGUUCCAGCGAUGGGUGGCAGUGAUGGGGAUAAAGCACGGGUGAUUCAGACCCUGCUUUUUGUAGCUGGCAUUAACACACUUCUGCAAGCACUUUUUGGAACAAGGUUGCCUACGGUUGUGGGAGGUUCAUUUGCUUAUGUCAUUCCCAUAGCUUAUAUUAUAAGUGACACCUCAUUGCAACAGAUUACUGAUCAUCAUGAAGGUAUUGAAAGAGAUCUUCCCAUGUGAUUGGUUUGCAGAGAUUUAUACAAACAAUGCGGGCUAUCCAGGGAGCUUUGAUUGUAGCCUCAAGCAUACAAAUCAUCCUGGGUUACAGCCAAGUUUGGGGACUCUUUUCACGGUUUUUCAGUCCUCUUGGGAUGGCACCUGUGGUUGGAUUGGUUGGCUUGGGAUUGUUUCAACGAGGAUUUCCUGAAGUAUGUAUUUCUAUGAAGCAUCAUAAAUACUGUUUUCAUUAGAUAUCAGUUGGGCUAACCCUUCAGAUUGUCUUUCUUUUAUGUUGCUUGCAUGUAUUGGAGCUAACUUCUCAUUAUAACUAAUCAUGGAUCCCAACGUUUAGGGAAUCAUUUUGUAGUUCAUAAAAUCAAGUGUCUCAUCAUUUCUCAAUGGUUUGGAAGCUGAUCGUAAUUUUGAGCCAUGGUUUCUUCUUAAGCCCGUUGACAAGUAUAACAUUCUGAUGAAGUAUGCUGUAAAAUCAUACUCUUAAAUAUCUGUGUCUUAAUUUUUGUGCAGCAUUUCCUUUCAACUAGAAAUAUCAAAUGAAGAAUGUUGUUGUUUGCUUAAAUGUACCAUGCAUAUCUAAUUCAUUGUGGUCACAGUAACUGAUAGGCACUUACUUUCUCUUUUACUAUCUUUCUGCCAGUUUCUUAUAAAGUUUCACUUAGUAUUCAUCUUACAAUAUCAUUUUUCAGUUGGGCAAUUGCGUAGAAAUUGGGUUACCAAUGCUGUUGCUGGUUAUUGGAUUUUCACAAUAUCUAAAGCAUGUGCGAAUCUUAAGAGAACUGCCAAUAUUUGAACGAUUUCCAGUGUUGAUAUGUGUUGCUAUAGUCUGGAUCUAUUCCAUUAUUUUAACUGCAAGUGGAGCUUACAGGGGCAAGCCAAGUAGAACUCAACUAAGUUGUCGUACAGACAAAGCAAAUCUUAUAUCUACUGCCCCAUGGUGAAUCAAAAUAUCAAUUAUGAACUUCCAUUUACAAAAAAGAAAGUUUUAUCAUGUUUUUGUUUUCUGGAAUUCAUGUGUUAUGCUACUUCAGGUUCAAGUUCCCAUAUCCUCUGCAGUGGGGCCCACCUACUUUUUCGGCAGGUCAUUCAUUUGCUAUGAUGUCCGCAGUUAUCGUGUCUAUGGUUGAGGUAUAUCUUAAUCCUCUAUAAGUGGCACUAGAUUGUUAUCUUCUUCACAGCAUGCUAUUUCAUCCUUCAAAUUUCUGAUGCGAAGAUUGUAUGAGAAACUUUAUAGAUGAUUAAUAAUUACUGUCUUUGACAAAGUCCCUACUCAAUCUUAAAUUUUGGUGCUGCAGUCAACUGGUGCAUACAAAGCAGCAUCUCGGUUGGCUAUUGCUACUCCUCCUCCUGCAUAUGUAUUGAGCAGAGGCAUUGGCUGGCAGGGUAUAGGUGUAUUGCUUGAUGGUCUUUUUGGAACAGGAACUGGUUCCACUGUUUCUGUGGAAAACGUAGGACUCCUUGGACUAACUCGAGUCGGAAGUCGCAGAGUUGUGCAGAUUUCUGCUGGCUUCAUGAUAUUCUUCUCUACCUUAGGGAAAUUUGGAGCUGUGUUCGCAUCCAUACCUUUUCCAAUAUUUGCUGCACUAUAUUGCAUUCUCUUUGGCCUUGUUGCUUCGGUAGGACUAUCAUUUCUUCAAUUCACAAACAUGAAUUCAAUGAGAAACCUCAUCAUUACUGGGCUUUCUCUCUUCCUUGGGAUUUCUGUUACCCAGUUUUUUAAUGAAUUUUGGAAUCCCACGCGACAUGGCCUUGUUCAUACCAAUGCAGGAUGGUUCAAUGCGUUUUUGAAUACCAUAUUCUCAUCUCCGGCAACAGUGGGUUUGAUUGUCGCAGUGUUUCUUGACAACACAUUAGAGGUAGAGAAAUCGAAGAAAGAUCGAGGGAUGCCAUGGUGGGUAAAGUUCAGAACAUUUAAAGGAGAUAAUAGAAAUGAGGAGUUCUACACUUUGCCAUUUAAUCUCAACAGAUUCUUCCCACCUACUUAGUUGAGACCAGUAGCAACCCAGAAAGCCAGGCUAAUUUGAUUUAACUCAGCAGUCUAGGCCAAUUCUAUUGACGCCAUGGAUGAUUUUUCCUGUGCUGAUCUUUAUUCUUCGAAAAUCAACCCCUUUUUUUAUGGACAACAAGGUCCAGGAUAGAUAGGACUAUAGAGCAUUGCACAAUAAUAAUGGAAAUCCCUUCCAUUGCUGGAAUUUGAAGAGCUUUUAGGGCAUUAAAUCAUCGGUAUUGUAUAUUUUUUGUUAUUGUUCAUAACUUAAGCCUGUUGCUUUUUCCUUUUUCUUCACACUCCUUUCGAUUCAUGUUCAAAUCACUCGAAUGAAAUCUCAGAUUAAUGGUGUAUAUGGAAGCCUCAGACAGCCAGUCUAAAGUUGACAUCAAAGUGAAAUUCAGCCGGUAAUUCCAACUAAAUAAAAGAAAUCAUCAUUGGCUUCAUAAUAUAUAAAUUUAAUCAGUGCAAAUUUACACAUUAGAAAAUUUGAAAAUUAAAAUGUAAUCGCCGAAAUCGGCUCCGUGAAUCAACUGAAUUCAGAUCCACAGGUUCCUAUCAGCAAGCGAAGCAUGAAAUCGAUUUCUGUCCAAUCAUAGCAUCGCCGGUCAAUGCCUAAAGGCUACCGGCGACGUGGCAUUGGACAUUUUAUAAGAAAAAAAAAUCAACUAAUUAAUACCCUCAGAGACCCGUUUCAAAUCACCCACACAACGCCGCAUCGCAGCCCACAUAAUCCCGACCAAUGAACAAUCCAAGCAGAAGACGAAUCCGAUGAAGGAAACGAAUCAGAAGGAUUGUGAUUAGUUGAUGGAAAAAGUGGGUUUUGUGAAUGUAGCCGCUGCUGAUUAAGUGUCAUACGGCACUUCCUAUCUAUUGGGAUUUCUUCCUCAUCGGAAUAUUUGAGACUGUUUUGCUUGUGAAAGAAAAGAAUCUGUGACUAGAAAACACGAAAUCGAUUACAAUUUUACCUGAGCCUGAUGUAUACAGAAGGAGAAGAGAGAGGUUUAGAGGAUGUUUAUGAUAUACAGAGAAGAGAAAAGAAGAGAAUAGUAGCGUAACCCUAACCCCCUGCCGCCUUUUAGUUAGAGAAUUGGGCCGUUGGUGUUUGAUGAUGAAUCCAGUGGUUGGAAAUGUUUCUGGCCCAUGUGGAUCCAUAUACCGCAGCAGGCAGGCCUUUAAGCAUGGGCUAUGGCGGUCCAUUGUUGGUUUGAUUUGAAAAUUAAAAUUGCCGGCCAGAAACACAGUCGCUCCCUCCAGUUCGCCACCAACAGUAACAGUAACACCUGUUGCUUCUUAUGAGAGCGCUUCAAAAGAGAGUUAAGGCCGCGUUUGGGUAAAUCAAAUGUCGAUGGUAACUGACACUACCUGGGUCGGAAAAAAGCCUCUCAGACGCAUAGGAGGCAUGUCCGAUGCCCUUUCCAUCGCCGCCGAUCUUGGAUUUGCUGUUGCACCUCCUCCUUCUCAGGAAGAACUCCAGAACUUAUCCACGACCACUGGAGAAAAAGGUGAUGACUUGAUUAAGGUUCUAAGAGAAUUAACUACUGUACAAAGAGAAAUAGCAGAUCUACAAGUGGAACUUCAAGGUCGAAAGGAUGACAAAAACGUGGCACAUUUGACACAUGUGAGUGAAAUGGAAAAGAAGAUUGAGACUUUGGCUAGGAUUACUACUAUACUGAAGGAUGUCAUUCAGAAUAAGGACCGUAUUAUAGCUCGUCUUCAACAACCAUAUUCACUGGAUUGUAUUCCAGUUGAAGCAGAAUAUCAGAAACAAUUUUCAGAAUUACUGAUGAAAGCUGCAAGUGAUUAUGGUGCCUUAACAGCAUCUGUUGCAGAUUUCCAGUGGAGUCAGAACUUUAAGGAGUCUCCUUCAGCAUGGGGGGAAAUGCUACGUCCUAUACCUGUUGCUUUAGCAUCCUGUACUCGAUUCUUUGAAGCAAUGUCUGCCAUGAGAGAAUCAUUUGCUACACUCCAAAAUUUGAAAGUCGGCCAUUUAGUUUCCCCUUUGCCAGAAACACCAGGAAAUAAUCCUUCUCAUAGACUACCAAGAGAUUCAGACUGUGUGACUCCUCCUUGGAGAAAUGAAUCUAGUUUUGAUGACUUAGCAGCCAAAAGCCUAAGGAAACAAGAACUCGAGAGGCAAGAAGCGGGUGAUGAAAGUAAUGAAAUGAGCGACUUUAAUCAAGUUGAUGGCACGAGUGAUAGGAGAUUGUCUUGGCCUCCAUCAGUUAAAAAGAGUGGUACAUAGAUAAAAGACCAUGCGUCAUUCAAAUUAUGUUUUCCUUAGAAUGAAUAUUGUGUAAAAUAUUUUCAUUUCAAUGAAAUUGUUCUUGAUCUUGCAUUAGAAGUCAAAUAUACAUAGAAUUCUUCAUUCACUUGUCACUUGUGCAGUUAAUGCAACUCGCGAAAAUUCUUGUAUUUGGUAUAGACAUCGUUUAUUGUAUGUUCAAUAUUGAUGUUUUUCAGGCAAAGUUAUUUUAUACA
rnacentral:misc_RNA from 1 species